AUUGAACGCUGGCGGCAUGCCUUACACAUGCAAGUCGAACGGCAGCGCGGGAGCAAUCCUGGCGGCGGGUGGCGAACGGGUGAGUAAUACAUCGGAACGUGCCCAAUCGUGGGGGAUAACGCAGCGAAAGCUGUGCUAAUACCGCAUACGAUCUACGGAUGAAAGCAGGGGAUCGCAAGACCUUGCGCGAAUGGAGCGGCCGAUGGCAGAUUAGGUAGUUGGUGAGGUAAAGGCUCACCAAGCCUUCGAUCUGUAGCUGGUCUGAGAGGACGACCAGCCACACUGGGACUGAGACACGGCCCAGACUCCUACGGGAGGCAGCAGUGGGGAAUUUUGGACAAUGGGCGAAAGCCUGAUCCAGCCAUGCCGCGUGCAGGAUGAAGGCCUUCGGGUUGUAAACUGCUUUUGUACGGAACGAAACGGUCUUUUCUAAUAAAGAAGGCUAAUGACGGUACCGUAAGAAUAAGCACCGGCUAACUACGUG
rnacentral:rRNA from 1 species